rnacentral:rRNA from 1 species
AGAGUUUGAUCAUGGCUCAGAACGAACGCUGGCGGCAGGCUUAACACGUGCAAGUCGAGCGCCCCGCAAGGGGAGCGGCGGACGGGUGAGUAACGCGUGGGAACGUGCCCUUUGCUACGGAAUAGCCUCGGGAAACUGGGAGUAAUACCGUAUGUGCCCUUCGGGGGAAAGAUUUAUCGGCAAAGGAUCGGCCCGCGUUGGAUAGGUAGUUGGUGGGGUAAUGGCCUACCAAGCCGACGAUCCAUAGCUGGUUUGAGAGGAUGAUCAGCCACACUGGGACUGAGACACGGCCCAGACUCCUACGGGAGGCAGCAGUGGGGAAUCUUAGACAAUGGGGGCAACCCUGAUCUAGCCAUGCCGCGUGAGUGAUGAAGGCCUUAGGGUUGUAAAGCUCUUUCAGCUGGGAGGAUAAUGACGGUACCAGCAGAAGAAGUCCCGGCUAACUCCGUGCCAGCAGCCGCGGUAAU